rnacentral:rRNA from 1 species
GACGAACGCUGGCGGCGUGCCUAACACAUGCAAGUCAACUUGAAGGAAGGAGCAAUCUGACCUGAUGGUGGCGCAAGGGUGCGUAACGCGUAAGUAACUUGCCCAAGGUAAGGAAUAACGUCGAGAAAUCGGCGCUAAUACCCCAUAAUGCAGCGGAUCCGCAUGGAUAUGUUGUUAAAGGUUUACCGCCUUGGGAUAGGCUUGCGUCUGAUUAGCUAGUUGGUGUGGUAAUGGCACACCAAGGCUACGAUCAGUAACUGGUCUGAGAGGAUGAUCAGUCACACUGGAACUGAGACACGGUCCAGACUCCUACGGGAGGCAGCAGUGAGGAAUAUUGGGCAAUGCACCGAAAGUGUGACCCAGCAACGCCGCGUGGAGGAUG